AUGAGGGAGUUCCUGAUAGAGAAGGUCUUGCCAGCGAUACAGGCCGUUUGGCCCGAAAGUAAUGCUGGACAGACCAUCUACAUUCAGCAGGAUAAUGCUAAGCCCCAUAUCUUGCCAGAUGACCCAGAAUUUCUAGCCGCUGUUGCAAAAACUGGACUUGACAUCAGAAUAAUACAACAGCCCGCCAACAGUCCUGAUUCGAAUGUGCUUGACCUCGGUUUUUUCAACUCGCUGCAAUCCCUAACAGAUUGUCUGAGUCCUAAAACACUACAAGACCUUAUUAUGGGUGUUUUGGAGGAAUUUGAAGGCUAUGAGGUUUACAAGCUCAACAGAAUUUUCCUAACUCUGCAGACAUGCAUGAUUGAGAUCUUGAACCACGCAGGGGGCAAUGAGUAUAAAACACCACAUGUGAACAAAGAAAGGCUUGAGGGUCUUGGGCAGCUACCUCCAAGACUUCAUGCCCUCGAGAGGUUUACGCAAAUGCCCUACACAAUCUAG
rnacentral:rRNA from 1 species